UGGCGGACGGGGGAGUAAUGUCUGGGAAACUGCCCGAUGGAGGGGGAUAACUACUGGAAACGGUAGCUAAUACCGCAUAACGUCGCAAGACCAAAGAGGGGGACCUUAGGGCCUCUUGCCAUCGGAUGUGCCCAGAUGGGAUUAGCUAGUAGGUGGGGUAAAGGCUCACCUAGGCGACGAUCCCUAGCUGGUCUGAGAGGAUGACCAGCCACACUGGAACUGAGACACGGUCCAG
rnacentral:rRNA from 1 species